rnacentral:lncRNA from 1 species
ACUCUCUAGAUCUGCUGGGGCUGGACUGAGGCUGGGGCAAGCCUCGUAAGGACUGGACCACGGGUGGGCAGGAGACCGGUGGAGAACCCGCCCUGUUGUUGGGGCUGGGGAGGGCCGCGCACCGAGACUAAAUUCUCCUUCCGGCCAGAUCCGCUCACCAGGCCCUGGCGACCUGAGCAUCUACGACAACUGGAUCCGGUACUUCAACCGCAGCAGCCCGGUGUACGGCCUGGUCCCCAGGGCCUCUGGUGACUGCAGUGGAGAAGUUUGAGGCAGAAGCUGCAGCCUUGGGCCAACGCAUAUCAACACUGCAGAAGGGCAGCCCUGACCCCCUGCAGGUCCGGAUGCUCAAUGACCAGUUGAUGCUCUUGGAACGGACCUUUCUGAACCCUAGAGCCUUCCCAGAGGAACGCUACUACAGCCAUGUGCUCUGGGCACCUCGCACGGGCUCCGUAGUCACAUUCCCGGGCCUAUCCAAUGCCUGCUCCAGGGCCAGGGACACAGCUUCUGGAUCUGAAGCUUGGGCUGAGGUCCAGAGACAGCUCAGCAUUGUGGUGACAGCCCUG